rnacentral:rRNA from 1 species
UACAGAGGAGCCAAGCGUUGUCCGGAUUGACUGGGCGUAAAGCGCACGCAGGCGGACGCGCGCGUGGGGUGUGAAAUCUGGCCGCUUAACGGCCAGGCGCCAUCCCAUACGGCGCGACUGGAGAGAUGCAGAGGUCGAUGGAAUUGCCGGUGUAGUGGUGAAAUGCGUAGAGAUCGGCAGGAACACCCAGGGGGAAACCAGUCGACUGGGCAUCUACUGACGCUGAGGUGCGAGAGCGUGGGGAGCGAACCGG